rnacentral:rRNA from 1 species
UGACUNGAGUGCAGAAGGGGAGAGUGGAAUUCCAUGUGUAGCGGUGAAAUGCGUAGAUAUAUGGAGGANCACCAGUGGCGAAAGCGGCUCUCUGGUCUGUCACUGACGCUGAGACUCGAAAGCGUGGGUAGCGAACAGGAUUAGAUACCCUGGUAGUCCACGCCGUAAACGAUGAGUGCUAGGUGUUAGGCCCUUUCCGGGGCUUAGUGCCGGAGCUAACGCAAUAAGCACUCCGCCUGGGGAGUACGACCGCAAGGUUGAAACUCAAAGGAAUUGACGGGGGCCCGCACAAGCGGUGGAGCAUGUGGUUUAAUUCGAAGCAACGCGAAGAACCUUACCAGGUCUUGACAUCCCGAUGCUAUUCUUAGAGAUAGGAAGUUACUUCGGUACAUCGGAGACAGGUGGUGCAUGGUUGUCGUCAGCUCGUGUCGUGAGAUGUUGGGUUAAGUCCCGCGACGAGCGCAACCCUUAUUGUUAGUUGCCAUCAUUAAGUUGGGCACUCUAGCGAGACUGCCGGUAAUAAACCGGAGGAAGGUGGGGAUGACGUCAAAUCAUCAUGCCCCUUAUGACCUGGGCUACACACGUGCUACAAUGGUCGGUACAACGAGUUGCGAGCCGGUGACGGCAAGCUAAUCUCUGAAAGCCGAUCUCAGUUCGGAUUGGAGGCUGCAACUCGCCUCCAUGAAGUCGGAAUCGCUAGUAAUCGCGGAUCAGCACGCCGCGGUGAAUACGUUCCCGGGCCUUGUACACACCGCCCGUCUCACCACGAGAGUUUGUAACACCCGAAGUCGGUGAGGUAACCUUUUAGGGGCCAGCCGC